GCCGCCCACCCGCCGACCGCCGCCGCCGCCGCCGCCGCCGCCGCCGUGCUCAACAACAACAAGUACGGCGGCCCAGACGAGGCCGUCGAGCGGCGCCGACGGAUACGCCGGAAAGACAGCAUCGAAACGCAGCGGCACAGACUCAGCGGGAGGUAGCGGGACCGGAGUGCCCGCAGCUCACGUGCCCUGCGCGGACGUAGUGCUGAGCGGGUCGGCGCCGACAGUGGCCGGCCUACUGUGAUCAAAGCUUAAAGCGUGCCUUACUCAGUGCCAACCGAGUGUUCGGAAGCGAGUGCCAACCGAUCGGAGGGCGGCAGAUGAGCCGGUGACGAUGUCGCCGGCCGGUGCGCGGCGACUGCGUGCCGGCAUUUUGGCCGGUGUUUUAUUUUGUGUGUGAACAUCGUGCUGAUGUUGAGUGCAUUUAGGGCCGGCGUGGUGGCGAGGUCUGUCCGAGAAAGACGGCGAGGAAGCGGCUGGCGGGUGUGGAGUCGCCCCUCUGCAGUGGGUUCCUGCGUGUGUGUGAGGGUGGGGUGGGGCUGUGCUGGCCUCGCCCGGCCUGCGUCCGGCGCCGUCCCCCGGCGUCCCCCCGCUCGUGGGCGGCCCUGACCGUGACCUCAUCCGCGCCCCGUCCGUUCCCCGUCAUGACCUGCCCCGACCCGGAGAGACCGUGAGGCCCUCGGCGGUCCAUCAUGGCGUCUCAGACCUGUCGCGAUGCAUCAUGGCGUCUCUGAGCAUUUGCGGUCCGUUGGGGCCUGUCGCGAUCGUUCGCAACCUUUGUGCCGUCAUGGCCGUCAUGACACCGAUGACGUCAUGACACUGAUGACGUCAUGACACUGAUGCAGCUAGAAUGUCCCCGGUGCGGGGCGUGCGGCGUAGCUGUUCGUGGUGGGAGGACCGGCUGCCCCCAGCCGAACCCGCCAAGCAACGCGCCUGUUGCUACCUUCCCACAGCCGGGUAUGCGAGGACCCAUGACGUGUACAGCUCACUGGCCCUGUAGUACAACGUGAUAUUUAUUGACGUAGUCGUGUUUGCGAAUGUUGUUGAUGAGUGUUCUUCAUAGUGUGAUCUUCCGAAUGCCUUUUUAUAUGAAUUUGUACACUGGAUCCAUACUCAUUAUGUCCGAGAUUUCACUGAAGACUGUUGAUGAUGUACUUUAUCCGUCUCAAGAAGUGGAAUAAAUAGUGGACCGGA